GUUAUUUUUUUGUCUAUUGAUAUUUAUUUAUUCUUAGGACCCAUAAUAAUAGUAUCUUAUGCUCUCGCAACACACUGUGCCACGUCAUGAAUCCAAAUUGGGUUUAAAUGACAUAUUCGAGAUGUUGUUGGAGUGUUUAAAUAUAAUGAAUUUAAGAUGGAGUGUCAAAGUAAAAAGUGAGGAUAAUUUUAAGGUCUGUCGAUCUAUUCUGGCUAUUUUUUGUUGUUUGAAUAUUGUAUGAAAGUUGAAAAAUAGUUGAAUAAUAUAUAAAUCAUUAU
rnacentral:lncRNA from 1 species